rnacentral:rRNA from 1 species
AUUGAACGCUGGCGGAAUGCUUUACACAUGCAAGUCGAACGGCAGCACGGACUUUGGUCUGGUGGCGAGUGGCGAACGGGUGAGUAAUGUAUCGGAACGUGCCCAGUCGUGGGGGAUAACGUAGUGAAAAUUACGCUAAUACCGCAUACGAUCUAUGGAUGAAAGCGGGGGAUCGCAAGACCUCGCGCGAUUGGAGCGGCCGAUAUCAGAUUAGGUAGUUGGUGGGGUAAAGGCCCACAAAGCCAACGAUCUGUAGCUGGUCGGAGAGGACGACCAGCCACACUGGAACUGAGACACGGUCCAGACUCCUACGGGAGGCAGCAGUGGGGAAUUUUGGACAAUGGGCGAAAGCCUGAUCCAGCCAUUCCGCGUGCAGGAUGAAGGCCCUCGGGUUGUAAACUGCUUUUGUACAGAACGAAAAGGUUUCUACUAAUACUAGGAGCUCAUGACGGUACUGUAAGAAUAAGCACCGGCUAACUACGUGCCAGCAGCCGCAGUAA